rnacentral:sRNA from 1 species
CAGCCAGGAGCCAAGCCCAGUGGGUUUGCGCCGUGGCCGUGUCACGCCCAACCUUUCCCGAGCCAGCAGCGACGCAGACCAUGGGGCAGAGGAGGACAAGGAGGAGCAGGUAGACAGCCAGCCAGACGCCUCCUCCAGCCAGACAGUGACCCCGGUGGCUGAACCCCCGAGCACAGAGCCCACCCAGCCUGACGGGCCCACCACCCUGGGCCCCUUGGAUCUGCUGCCCAGUGAGGAGCUAUUGACAGACACAAGUAACUCCUCUUCAUCCACUGGGGAGGAAGGUGAGGCAGGCGGGCCCAAUUCAUUCGCCUCCGGUACUUGCAAGCCUCGCUCAGUCUUAAGCAAGAGGGGAUGGAUUCGCCCGCAGCACUGAGAAUCCAGGGGCAGGCGGGAUGGUGUUCAGGCGCUGUUGCUAGAAAUCUCUGUCUUUACUCUGUUUUGAAGGCAGCAUGGCAGGGUGAACACGAGCACAGACUGAAGGCAGCUUGCCGCGGUUCACAUCCUGGUCACACCACUUCCUGACCAUGUCACGUGGGCAAAUUAUGUAACUUCUCUGAGCUUGCUUUCCUCCUCUGAAAAUGGGGUUAACAAUGAUAAUACCCACUUCAUAGGAUUGUUGUUAAGAGACUAUAAAUGAGGCCGGGUGUGAUGGCUCACACCUGUAAUCCCAGCACUUUGGGAGGCCAAGGUAGGAAGGAUUGCUAGAGGCCAAGAGUUGGAGAACAGCCUGGGCAGCAAAGCAAGACCCCGUUUUGUACAAAAAAGAAAAAAAA